rnacentral:misc_RNA from 1 species
CAGACAUCAUGUUUCUCAUUAACCGAUGUGAGGUCAACUUAGAACACUGUGUCCAAUAUGCCAACAAGAUAAACAACCUAUUCAAUUCCUAUAGGUAAACAAAUGCAUUGCAUAAUAAUACAAAUAUCAACAUAUUUCAGUAAGCAUGCAUCCAUAAAACACUGCUAGCACAAAAAGGCAAACCGAUAAAUAAUGCUUAUGAUUACAAUGAACAUGCCCAUUUAGAUAUUCUCAUCUUUAUCAGAUAACAACAUCAUUGCUACUAUUGUGACUCAUCAUAAAAUAGUUUCCUUUAUGCACGAUCACAUUUCAGGUUUGUGAACCAUUGAACAAAUUUAUGAUCAGUAAAAUUCGCCACUUUGCACUCUUAAGUUCCAUUAAUUACAAUUUUUUCUUUGGUUAAAUAUAACUUUGUUCAACCAAGAAGCACAUUGACCAGCAAAUAAACAAUGAUCCACUUGUCUACUCCAAAUUCUUUCCCAUGAAUUGUAUCUUUGUUUUUAGUUUAUUUCAGAAUUUUCUGGUUCACUGAUCCUAUACUGUUGAAAUUGCAUAUUGAAACUUAUAGUCCAUCAAAUAAUACCGAUUGUUCUCCUUUUGCAAUUUUUUGGAAGGAAUUCAUUGAACACAAAGAAUUCAUAGCAAAACAAAUCAAAUAAUCUUGCAGGGUAAUUAUAUGAUAACCAGGUUGAUCUUUCCUCCGAGAUUCUUUUGCCUCUCAGUUUUCGUUUGCUUCUGCAAAAUUCAGCUGGUUUUUUCCCAAGGGCAGGGAAAGUUUUGCUUCAGCAUAUUGUUCAUUACUUACCUUCUCAAUUAUUUGAAACACAUGAAUAUUUCAAUUGCAUUUGAAACACAUGAAUAUUCCUACCACGUCCUUCGAAAAGAAAGUGAAAAAUAACAGCCCAGUAGGAUGCAAGUGAAGGGACUUAGUUUAUAGUUAACCAGCAUUGUUGGCUUUCUUCUUUUUGUUUGUACCCAAUGGCCAAAACUAUAUCAAAAUUUGUAAGGUCUACCAGAAUAUUUAAAGCUUCUUGGAAAUACUGAUUUUUCACGGAUCAUGUACUGCAUAAGAAUAGUGAGAUUUACAGGUUCAAUAGUAAGAUUCAAAUCAAUUUAGGUAAUAGAUUCAAAUCAAUUUAGGUACUAAAACAUUUGUAUAUGGCAUAGGAAACAAAAUCAACAAAGAAUAAUAAAAAAAUCAAUAAACUCAAUGGAUUAUCAAAUUGAAUAACACAAUCAUGAAAUUUCUUCAAAGUUGAAAAACUCACACAAAAUAUCCACUUCAGAAAACUUAUCAAGCUUCAAUCACUUCAUACUACCCAUACUAACAAAACCAAAAUAGAAAAUUAAUAGAGAAACCAACAAAUCCUACACAAAGUAUACAAGGCACACAAUUAAACAAAACCAUAUAGUUCAUGCUUGCAGGUACACUGAAUUGAAAAUUUGAACGGUGGAUAAAAUGUAUCCUUAUUGACAUACAUCAGCAUGCAUGGCAAUACCCCAAUUUUAUUAUACUAUUUUCUUUGUUUUCAAAAAUAGAUUACUAAUCUAGUAAGGUAUUAACAUUUUCAAGGUUAUCAUUGAUUAAAAAAAAAAAUCUUUGUAUUCGCCAUCCUUUUCAAUUCAGAAUUCCAAAAAUGGACUUUCCAAUUCAAAACUUGCAGUUUAACAAUGCACAUGUUGCACCUGGCCAUUGGCAUUUCAUGAAAGCUGAAUAGGACAUCUUACUUACAACUAUGGAAAAGCUUACUCCAUUUCACUGAGAUUCAACCAAAAAAAAUGAGUGAUCAAAUACUUGAAUUUCUACAAUCAUAAUAAUUCUUCAAAAACUGAAGAUAGUUUUAACUUCAGAGAACUCUUUGCUAUCUAAAUUUGAAGAAACAAAAUAAAAUCACAACCUCAACAAAUCAAAUCACAAUAUUCCCAAUAUUACCUUAAAAUUUCCCUACAUUUCUAGAUUUCCCAUGGAACAAAUCAUGGAACAGACAAAAAAAAAAAGUCCCUUUUUUUAACUACCCCCAUACAAGUACACAGCUACAAAAGACCCGUUUCAAUAAAACAUAUGAAAUACCCAAUUCAUAAUAGAAAGAGGGAAAUUUUUC